GAUGAACGCUGGCGGCGUGCUUAACACAUGCAAGUCGAACGAUGAAGCCCAGCUUGCUGGGUGGAUUAGUGGCGAACGGGUGAGUAACACGUGAGUAACCUGCCCUUAACUCUGGGAUAAGCCUGGGAAACUGGGUCUAAUACCGGAUAGGAGCGUCCACCGCAUGGUGGGUGUUGGAAAGAUUUAUCGGUUUUGGAUGGACUCGCGGCCUAUCAGCUUGUUGGUGAGGUAAUGGCUCACCAAGGCGACGACGGGUAGCCGGCCUGAGACGGUGACCGGCCACACUGGGACUGAGACACGGCCCAGACUCCUACGGGAGGCAGCAGUGGGGAAUAUUGCACAAUGGGCGCAAGCCUGAUGCAGCGACGCCGCGUGAGGGAUGACGGCCUUCGGGUUGUAAACCUCUUUCAGUAGGGAAGAAGCGAAAGUGACGGUACCUGCAGAAGAAGCACCGGCUAACUACGUG
rnacentral:rRNA from 1 species